rnacentral:lncRNA from 1 species
AUGCUUCUCCGGCUUUUGGGAGCAGCACACGCUCGCAGCCGAGCGCAGAGCGGAUGCGGUUCCCGGGCGCCGGGAAGGCAGGCGGGCUGCGGCAGCGAGCCCUUUGUUCCGGGCAUCCCGCGGGCUCAGCGCUGCGGCUCCGGCUGCUCGGUGCGGGAGAGCGGCGGCCGGCAGCCCCUCACGCGGCCUCUCCCGGCCCCGGCGCAGCGGAACGCGGGGCGAACGGCCGCUCCGACCCCCCUCCCCCCCGACGCGGCGGACGACCGAGUCACCUCCCCUGCCGGGCGCGGGGAAGGGGAGCCCCGGCGGGGUGGGACGAGUCGGAUCGCGGCCCGCGAUGCCUCACCGAGCCCGGCCAGCCGCUCCACCAGCCCCGCGGCGCGGAGAGUAGCGGGGCCGUGGUCCACUCCGCGCCGUUUCUGUCAGACAAAGAAAAAAGGAGCGUUAGCGAGCGCCGCCCGGCUGCGGCCCCCCGGCCCGGCCCGGCCCGGCGCCCACCUGUCCCCUGGAGAACGGGGCGCCCACCAGCGCCACCGAGUGCGCCCGCCGGGGCAGCCGCAGCCCCAACCCCGCGUCCGCCCGCUUGCGGAGGAGCCGCGCGAAGCCGCCGCGCAGAGCCAUGGCGCAGAUGACACCGAGCCGGCGGAUGAUGCCCACCGCCGCCGCGCCGCUCCUUUUAGCCGGCUCCAGCUCCGCGCGCGCCGCCGGGCCCCGCCCCCGCCCGCACACCCCCGGGCCGCCCGGCCAAUGGCGGCGCGCGCGCGCGGAGGUGUGUCCCGCCCACAGAGCGCAGCGGGGCCUUCGCGCGACGCGGGCGGGCGGCGGCUCCUCCUCGCGCUGUCGCGGCGCUGGGGUUUUUCCACUCCCGCAGCGGGGGGCUCGCGCACCUGCCCCGGGCGCCGUGCUCCGGCCCGAGGCGCGGCGUGGGGGCGUGGCGACCUAAGAGCGGGAGCCGGCACUCGCGUACUGCCGAAGCUCGCACGGACGGGCUCGAGUUCCUACGCGCAAACGCACGUGCCUUGA